GAAGAACGCUGGCGGCGUGCCUAAUACAUGCAAGUCGAACGCUUCACUUCGGUGAAGAGUGGCGAACGGGUGAGUAAUACAUAAGUAACCUGGCAUCUACAGGGGGAUAACUGAUGGAAACGUCAGCUAAGACCGCAUAGGUGUAGAGAUCGCAUGAACUCUAUAUGAAAAGUGCUACGGGACUGGUAGAUGAUGGACUUAUGGCGCAUUAGCUUGUUGGUAGGGUAACGGCCUACCAAGGCGACGAUGCGUAGCCGACCUGAGAGGGUGACCGGCCACACUGGGACUGAGACACGGCCCAGACUCCUACGGGAGGCAGCAGUAGGGAAUUUUCGGCAAAGGGGGAAACCCUGACCGAGCAACGCCGCGUGAAGGAAGAAGUAAUUCGUUAUGUAAACUUCUGUCAUAGAGGAAGAACGGUGGAUAUAGGGAAUGAUAUCCAAGUGACGGUACUCUAUAAGAAAGCCACGGCUAACUACGUG
rnacentral:rRNA from 1 species